UCCUACGGGGCGCAGCAGUGAGGAAUAUUGGUCAAUGGCCGGAGGGCUGAACCAGCCAAGCCGCGUGAAGGACGAAGGUGCCAAGCAUUGUAAACUUCUUUUGUCAAGGGACAAAAUCAGGCUCGAGAGCCUGACCGAGGGUACUUGAAGAAAAAGCAUCGGCUAACUCCGUGCCAGCAGCCGCGGUAAUACGGAGGAUGCGAGCGUUAUCCGGAUUUAUUGGGUUUAAAGGGUGCGUAGGCGGACUGUUAAGUCAGCGGUAAAAGCCCGGGGCUCAACCCCAGCGAGCCGUUGAAACUGGCUGU
rnacentral:rRNA from 1 species